rnacentral:rRNA from 1 species
UUAAGUUAUUAAGGGCGCACGGUGGAUGCCUUGGCACUAGAAGCCGAUGAAGGACGUUACUAACGACGAUAUGCUUUGGGGAGCUGUAAGUAAGCUUUGAUCCAGAGAUUUCCGAAUGGGGAAACCCGGCAUGAGUUAUGUCAUGUUAUCGAUAUGUGAAUACAUAGCAUAUCAGAAGGCACACCCGGAGAACUGAAACAUCUUAGUACCCGGAGGAAGAGAAAGAAAAUUCGAUUCCCUUAGUAGCGGCGAGCGAAACGGGAAGAGCCCAAACCAACAAGCUUGCUUGUUGGGGUUGUAGGACACUCUAUACGGAGUUACAAAGGACGACAUUAGACGAAUCAUCUGGAAAGAUGAAUCAAAGAAGGUAAUAAUCCUGUAGUCGAAAAUGUUGUCUCUCUUGAGUGGAUCCUGAGUACGACGGAGCACGUGAAAUUCCGUCGGAAUCUGGGAGGACCAUCUCCUAAGGCUAAAUACUCUCUAGUGACCGAUAGUGAACCAGUACCGUGAGGGAAAGGUGAAAAGCACCCCGGAAGGGGAGUGAAAUAGAACCUGAAACCGUGUGCUUACAAGUAGUCAGAGCCCGUUAAUGGGUGAUGGCGUGCCUUUUGUAGAAUGAACCGGCGAGUUACGAUUUGAUGCAAGGUUAAGCAGUAAAUGUGGAGCCGUAGCGAAAGCGAGUCUGAAUAGGGCGUUUAGUAUUUGGUCGUAGACCCGAAACCAGGUGAUCUACCCUUGGUCAGGUUGAAGUUCAGGUAACACUGAAUGGAGGACCGAACCGACUUACGUUGAAAAGUGAGCGGAUGAACUGAGGGUAGCGGAGAAAUUCCAAUCGAACCUGGAGAUAGCUGGUUCUCUCCGAAAUAGCUUUAGGGCUAGCCUCAAGUGAUGAUUAUUGGAGGUAGAGCACUGUUUGGACGAGGGGCCCCUCUCGGGUUACCGAAUUCAGACAAACUCCGAAUGCCAAUUAAUUUAACUUGGGAGUCAGAACAUGGGUGAUAAGGUCCGUGUUCGAAAGGGAAACAGCCCAGACCACCAGCUAAGGUCCCAAAAUAUAUGUUAAGUGGAAAAGGAUGUGGCGUUGCCCAGACAACUAGGAUGUUGGCUUAGAAGCAGCCAUCAUUUAAAGAGUGCGUAAUAGCUCACUAGUCGAGUGACACUGCGCCGAAAAUGUACCGGGGCUAAACAUAUUACCGAAGCUGUGGAUUGUCCUUUGGACAAUGGUAGGAGAGCGUUCUAAGGGCGUUGAAGCAUGAUCGUAAGGACAUGUGGAGCGCUUAGAAGUGAGAAUGCCGGUGUGAGUAGCGAAAGACGGGUGAGAAUCCCGUCCACCGAUUGACUAAGGUUUCCAGAGGAAGGCUCGUCCGCUCUGGGUUAGUCGGGUCCUAAGCUGAGGCCGACAGGCGUAGGCGAUGGAUAACAGGUUGAUAUUCCUGUACCACCUAUAAUCGUUUUAAUCGAUGGGGGGACGCAGUAGGAUAGGCGAAGCGUGCGAUUGGAUUGCACGUCUAAGCAGUAAGGCUGAGUAUUAGGCAAAUCCGGUACUCGUUAAGGCUGAGCUGUGAUGGGGAGAAGACAUUGAGUCUUCGAGUCGUUGAUUUCACACUGCCGAGAAAAGCCUCUAGAUAGAAAAUAGGUGCCCGUACCGCAAACCGACACAGGUAGUCAAGAUGAGAAUUCUAAGGUGAGCGAGCGAACUCUCGUUAAGGAACUCGGCAAAAUGACCCCGUAACUUCGGGAGAAGGGGUGCUCUUUAGGGUUAACGCCCAGAAGAGCCGCAGUGAAUAGGCCCAAGCGACUGUUUAUCAAAAACACAGGUCUCUGCUAAACCGUAAGGUGAUGUAUAGGGGCUGACGCCUGCCCGGUGCUGGAAGGUUAAGAGGAGUGGUUAGCUUCUGCGAAGCUACGAAUCGAAGCCCCAGUAAACGGCGGCCGUAACUAUAACGGUCCUAAGGUAGCGAAAUUCCUUGUCGGGUAAGUUCCGACCCGCACGAAAGGCGUAACGAUUUGGGCACUGUCUCAACGAGAGACUCGGUGAAAUCAUAGUACCUGUGAAGAUGCAGGUUACCCGCGACAGGACGGAAAGACCCCGUGGAGCUUUACUGUAGCCUGAUAUUGAAAUUCGGCACAGCUUGUACAGGAUAGGUAGGAGCCUUUGAAACGUGAGCGCUAGCUUACGUGGAGGCGCUGGUGGGAUACUACCCUAGCUGUGUUGGCUUUCUAACCCGCACCACUUAUCGUGGUGGGAGACAGUGUCAGGCGGGCAGUUUGACUGGGGCGGUCGCCUCCUAAAAGGUAACGGAGGCGCUCAAAGGUUCCCUCAGAAUGGUUGGAAAUCAUUCAUAGAGUGUAAAGGCAUAAGGGAGCUUGACUGCGAGACCUACAAGUCGAGCAGGGUCGAAAGACGGACUUAGUGAUCCGGUGGUUCCGCAUGGAAGGGCCAUCGCUCAACGGAUAAAAGCUACCCCGGGGAUAACAGGCUUAUCUCCCCCAAGAGUUCACAUCGACGGGGAGGUUUGGCACCUCGAUGUCGGCUCAUCGCAUCCUGGGGCUGUAGUCGGUCCCAAGGGUUGGGCUGUUCGCCCAUUAAAGCGGUACGCGAGCUGGGUUCAGAACGUCGUGAGACAGUUCGGUCCCUAUCCGUCGUGGGCGUAGGAAAUUUGAGAGGAGCUGUCCUUAGUACGAGAGGACCGGGAUGGACAUACCUCUGGUGUACCAGUUGUCGUGCCAACGGCA